AAUAAUGCCAUUUCUUUGUUCCAUCUCCACUCUUCCAAAAUUGUUUGUAAAGGACGCAUUCUUUGCUGAAGGUGAUAUAGUGUGUUCGAUCUCCUGGGACGCAAAUUGUUUGCAAAAGGACUGGACGGACUGCUACUUUGCACGCUAACCUUGUCCUUCUCGGCUCAAGCAACACCUAACAGAGAUAGAAUCUCUGAUUCAUUCAGGGGCUACAGCUUAGUGCUAAGUAGAGAUCUAAGAUAUUAUUCCAAGACAGCAGUGACUCCGAAAUAUUAAUUUUACAAGGUGUUAACGGAAAGUCUUGCAAGGAUUUAUUAAUGACUAAAACAAGAAGAAGAAAAACGACAUAAUCACACCAGAUAUGAGAAUUAUGUGAUAUUUUGCUACAGAAAUUGUACACUAGAUAUGGAGUAAAUUUUUGGAGAUCAUUUCUUAAGUAAAUUUUUUUUACU